rnacentral:lncRNA from 1 species
UUUAAGCCUUUAUAAACAAAAAGAGUCGUAUAACAAGAGUUUUUCUUCUAAAAUAUUAAACAUUAAUAAACAUUCAGUUUUUUAACCAAAAUGGUAGAUAACUCCGGUAUGGUUUUGAUAAAGAAAAAGUCACUCUUGUCCCAAUUACACAAAAUAAAGAAAAAGAAUUAAACAAGUAGUAGGAGUCAUGCACGAGUCAUCUAUCAGUAGGUUCAAUCUGCUAAAAAGAAAUAUAAUACACAAUUAGCUCAUAAGCAGGUAAAUAAUUUGUAAAAGCAAGAUAUAAUAAUAAAUAAGAAUGGUAAAAAAAGUGGAAGCAUAUGUAAUAGGAGCCAAAUCACCACUUCAUGCGAUUGUGCCGAAGAAGUUAGCAUACUUUGCUGCAUUUUCUCCUACAGGCUGGCCUGAUUCAUUUACAUCAACAAUCAAGCAUUCACAGACUUCCAUAAAUCAACACAUUGUGGAGGCCUCUGUCCUCUCUUCUUAUUGAGAGUUGAUUAUAUUCAGUACCACGUAUGUAGACAUAUAAAAGAGAGACCUACCUACCAAAUAACAGCCCAUAAACUGUAUAAAAGAGAACUUGAGAAUUAAACAUCUCUAGUGUCAUUCAAGUUCUCCAGACAGUGGAUUUUGAAAGCAAUAUAGCUAUUAUGAAACAUGAAAUUACUGAACCUAAGUAUUUGCUGAGGCACUGGUACAUAUAAGUUAAGUUUCACGGAAGAAAAAAAUUCUUUUUUAUAUGCUCUGAUAAAUCAACUAGGUAACUCCCUUGUACAAUCUUAGUGUCAAGCAAAUGAAUGAUAAAAUAGAUAAUUGAUACCACAAUGGAAUACUAAGGAACAAGAACUUAAUCUUGGAACAGGACAUACUCCUCGGUUCAGGACUGACUCCAUUAACUAUUUCAAUCAUCACAACAACUAGAUUGUUUAAGUCUUCAACUUAUCCAAUGAAACAGCCAAUGAAUAACAUCAACAAUUACAAAUUGUUGAAGCAUACCCAGCAACAAAUAAAACAUAAGCUAAUAUUUUAUAAAACUUACAGAAUAAAUAGAAGAAGUGGCAUAUCCACACUACUGACUGAGCAAGGAUGACUUUGUUUACACCCAUAUAUGUCUCCACAUGUGGAUUAAUCAUGGAAAAAAAACAAAAGAUACCAUAACUGCCUUGGGCUUCAUGGUUUAUGAUGGUUGCCAUAUAUAUUCUGCUACUACCGUCAAGCUAGAAAAUAAGUUAUUUACAUGAAUUGGCAUGGAAGAGUAGAAACAAUGCCAGAAUUGUGAACAAAAAGUAAAUAGUAGACGGUCAUACAGGCCCAAGGCACACU